CAAUGUUCUCUACUUGAAACCCAGCACCUGCAGGAGAAAAAUUCAAUCUGUUUGUGACAGUAUGAAACGCGUAAUACAGUAUAACUAGUACAACCGUUGCCACGGUGGUAGGGCCGAUCGAAGAAGAAUCUGAAGAUGGGGCCGAUCGAAGAAGAAUCUGUCUGUGACAGUAUUAAAUGUUUUAAUCGAUUUCUAAUAAUGGGUUUUGAUUAUCUGAACAAAUUGCAGAAUUUGGUUGUUUUUUUCUAAAUUAGCUGGGAUUUUAGGGUUUAAUAAUUAAUUGUGAUGGUGGACAUUAAGAAUUUAAAGAGUGAAGGGAGGAGGUUACAUGAAUCCUAAUACAGUUGUUGUACUUCAUUUAGAUCUUAACCUCGCCAGAACAGAAGAACCCAGAUGAAGGUAACCAAGCUCACUUUGUCUAUUACAAGAUCUUCUACAUUUUUGAGUUAAGAUUGAAUCUUAUGUUUCCAGUGAAAUUCACUACAUGAAUAAGCAGAUACCACUGCUCUUGCAAAUGAAAAUGGUAAGGUCACUACAUGAAUAAGCGGAUGCCACUGCUCUUAGACAUGAAAAUGGUAAGGUCGAAUAAGAAAAUUUAACAAUUAGAGAGGAAUUCCUAAAGAUUCGUACCUUGAGGAUGAAAAACUGAGAUUGAGAGAAUGGCCAUUUUCGUGUGUUUAAUGAGUUUACAUGGUGUUGAAUCAGUAAAGUGACUCUUUUUCCUUAUAGUAAUUUCCUUUUUACAAUUCUUCUCUCAUUUUAACCAAUUUGUUGCGUAACACAACCUCAUGUCCUAAUGAUUGAUGCUGGUACUUUAAGCAUGUCUUAACCAACUUUUCCAUGAUUUUUAAGCAGCUUCAGCUGAGGAUAUCUCACCCCAUCUUUGUUUUAUAUGGUUUUUGAAUUUGGUUGAGCAUGGACUACGCUCCUUGAUGUUUUAGGCAUCACCCACAAAUCAUAGUUUAUAUUUCCUGUUUUGUUUUAAUGAAGAUGUAUGCGUAUUUUUUUGCUUGGUGUAAUGAAAUGAAAGCAUGUUUAACCCGCAUGAUGACGCAGGUGACAUGGUUAUUUUAUUUGCAAUUUAAACGGGCUCAGCCACUUCUCUGGUAUAGUUUGCUGUGAUGUUGAAGGGCUGUUGAUAUUUUUGUGCCUAUCCUGGGGAUUUGUGGAUUUGCUGGAAAGGGCUACGUGUCAUUACAGAUGAUCAGUUAUUUGUCUCCAGAUGAGGCUGACAAAAUCUUAGAUAUAGGAUUUGAGCCACAAAUCAGAAACAUUGUUGAGAAAAUGUACAUGUCUCCACGGGGUGCAAGGCAGACCAUGUUAUUUCGUGCCACCUUUCCAAGAGAGAUACAGGUGAACAAGGCAGACGGCCAUGGAAAGUGGCAGGAAAUUCAGUCUGUAGUUUAUUAUACUAUUAACAAUGCUAUAGGAGAACCCCCUCGGUUAUGCACUGUAUGCACUUCAUUUCUUAUUGCAAGUACAUCUAACUGUAAUUUACGAAUUUGAUAUAAAUAAUGAUGCAACUUCGAUUUCUA